rnacentral:rRNA from 1 species
GAACGAGAAAGUGGAGCAAUCCAUGAGUAAAGUGGCGACCGGGUGAGUAACACGUGACUAACUUGCCCUCGAGUGGGGGAUAACCCCGGGAAACCGGGGCUAAUACCGCAUAACAUCUUCGGGAUGAGAAGCCGAAGAUCAAAGGAGCAAUUCGCUUGAGGAGAGGGUCGCGGCUGAUUAGCUAGUUGGUGGGGUAACGGCCCACCAAGGCGGUGAUCGGUAGCCGGCCUGAGAGGGCGCACGGCCACACUGGAACUGAAACACGGUCCAGACUCCUACGGGAGGCAGCAGUGGGGAAUUUUGCGCAAUGGGGGAAACCCUGACGCAGCAACGCCGCGUGGAGGAUGAAGCCCUUUGGGGCGUAAACUCCUUUCGACCGGGACGAUAAUGACGGUACCGGUGGAAGAAGCACCGGCUAACUCUGUG